UGAAUUCUUUGGAGUGUUCUCAGGGGCUCCCGGAGAUGACAUGGCAGUGAAAAAGAAGCAAGCAAACAGGAGCACAGUACCGGUCAAGUGAAGCCUCCAGUUAGCAAGCAGCUUCGCCGAUGUGCAUCUUCACUGAUAUAGAACAAAGACGGGUGCUAGAAGCCUGCUUUUUCAAAGCAGUAACACAGCAGCUAACAGUUUUCAAUGGGUCCCUCGUACACAGCUGCAUGCACAUUGAUGCUCCAACUCCCUGCCUUUGCAGAACCUGAACGCAAGCUUGCAGCAGCUGUGGCACACCAGAAUGCAUGCAUGUAUUUGGGAAGAUACCACACGCAGCUGAAUAAAGGGGUGGCUGGAAGGGGAAGUGCUUCCCACUGGGUUACAAUUCCUUGGCAUGCAGUUACAGUGUGCACUUGUUUCACAGAGAGUUGGAAUCACUUGAAUGCGUUUAGAAACAAGGAAAAGGGAAGGGAAGGAUAUGAAUUUUUUUAAUUGGAAAAUAUUCAUAUGGAUCUCCCCUCAAAGUACUUUUACUUAACAUGGCUCAGCUCAGAUACCCCACAAACCAGAUUACAUACUAUUCUCACUUCACGUAUAAAAUACUGAAAAACUUGAAGGCAAUUUUUUAACACGUUAGCAGUCUUCUCUUCUGAAAACUGAAUUUUCUGCAUCACACAUCAGAAUUGUCAUCAAAAAUGCAGAUGUGUAUGCAGUUACAAAAUUAUAAAAGCAGCACAUCGCCAAGAACCUUUGGUCGUGGUGAUGCUACAGUUACACAACACCGUUUUUGUGUUUCAGAAAUUGUGAGACGUCGCUCAGAAUUUGGCACACGCUACUCCUUCCGGUUAGGAGCGUUCCCAGUGCUGCUGGAAACCACGACAGACAAUGUGAUUGCUUUCUCUCUUACUUAAAAAUAACACAUUUCAAAAAGCUUCUGAUUACAAUUUUCAAAAUAGAGUGCAGAUGAAAAGAAGUUAUGAAACACUACUUCUCAAAUCUUCCUGAUUAGAGGGAAAAAAUCCCAGGACUACAUGGGCCUAUGAAAUUAGUUUAUUUCGCUGGUGAAAAUAACACCAAAUAUAUUUAUGAGGAAGAUUAAAAGAAAAACAUAAUCACAAGAAAAUCCUGCCAGCAGUCCGGACUUCAGUAAUGAAAGAAUGAAUUCCACUUAGCACUGCAAACAUAACAGGCAUUUUUUUUUCCCCCUCCACAUCAGUCUUUUAAGCAUUAUAGACAACCCAAGUAGUACACCUUUAAAUGUUUUAUUUUCUACAGAAACUGGGUAUGACAGGGCUUUUGUUCCCAUGAAAUUUUUUCCCAUUACCUAAAUGGCUCUCCAUUCAUCUUAUUCUCUAUUGUUCACUCAAUCUCUCUUGCUUUAUUAAAACAUUGGCCCCUCUACUCCUUACAGAUUCAGCAAGGCUGACUCCAAUCCAGAGCCAAAUUCUGCUGAAGCAGGAGUUGUACGUGUACAUCCAGGAGCCGUCUUAUUUCUAGCUGCAAUGAUGUCAAAACUGUUGUGGAGUAUCUGAUCCCUGAAAGGGCUUUGCACUUAGUUUAAGACUAGAAUACAAAAGUGAAAUUUGAGGACAAAAAUGGAAGCUACAUAAAUACAUCAAAAUUAAAAUUUGUUGGGUGAAUAAGCUAGCAACAUAAAGUAACAUAGGAUGGAAGAGCUUAAGUGCUACAUAAAAAACCCACCCAAAACAAACAAUAAAAACCACAAGAGUCUCUAAAAAUACAUGGAAAUGAAAGAGAAUUAUAAAGAACAGAAGUAUCCCUCCUUUCUCCCCAGUCAUAAUUAGGAUGAAAAAGCUGACAAAGACAAGGUUUCUGAAGUAUCUGGAACACUACUAUUGUAUGGAUAUUACUUCAUUGUCUGAAUACUACUUUCAGGUGACAGCCAUCAUAUAGAAGCCUGAAAUCUAGUCAAGGAAAUACAUCGAAAACAAACAGCACUAUCAAAUUUGCAGCACACAAAAUCUCAUUAUAAGCAAAAUUCACAAUAAGCAAAAAGAAAAAAAGCAUUUAAAGCAGUAAAACAAAGGUAGCUUGAGGCGGAAUAAGUGACCAGAACAAAAGCAAUCUUUAAUAAGCGGAGUUGCAAGAACACACAAUAUUUACUCCAAGGAUGGAUGAUGAACUGGUUUGUCCAUAAAUAAUCUGAUAUCUGCCUAGUGUCCUUCUCUAAGUAUUAGAUUUCCUUCAGAAAUCCUUCUCUCUAUUUACAGCUUUAAACUUCCAUAUCCAUUUCCAAUGUCAUAUAUUACAAGCUUAAAAUUGGGUGCCAUUUCAUGAGCAACUAAGGCCCACCAAAGCUUGUAUUGCCAUGGCAAAGGAAGCCCUGUUGUUCCCUCAUUAACUGAAAAUGUUAAAAUGAUAGGGGAAAAUAAUUUUCAGCCUGACAUCCAGUUGACUGCGUAGCCCCUUUCUCACUAAGACAUAAAGGGAAAUAAUGUUUUUAUAGCGAUUCCAGCUAAACACGUAGAGAAUAUUUUUCCUACAGUGCACAGAGCUUACAAGUAGAUAGAUCUCUGAUCUACACAGUUUUAAAAAGUGUCCUGAGAAUUAAACAGAUACGAGAGUUUGCAGAUGAGAAAACACAACGGGCAAAUCAAAUGCAAUGUACCUAUAAGGACGCUUGAUCAUUUUCCUUUUCCAUCUGUCUUAUCCUAUUACAGCAUGAUGGAAGACUUAAGUAGUUAAACUCAUUUGCCUUUCACUCAAGAAUUGUCUAGAGGUGACCAAGUCUCAAGUUGUUCAAUUCUCCAGAGAAUAUUUGUUAUAUGUGGGAGUCUUGGUCAAUUCUUGUAACAAACAAUACAAAAUAUCUAAAGUUACAAGGCUUGAUGGAAUAGGAAAGAAGUUGGUAAUAUAUGUUAAAUUCCCAAAAUAUUUUCAGCAAAAUAACACAAAAUAAUGGAAAAAAAAUCCAAAGCCUGAAUAUUUUGGAAAAAAAUUUAACUCCAUCUUAGCUUUAUGACAAUAGAAUGAAGCAACUGUUCUAAAGAUCUGAGACAGUCAACAUGGCCUCACCAAAAGCAGAUUGUGCCUGAUCAACCUGGUGGCCUUCCAUGAUGGAGUGACAGCAUCACUGGACAAAGGGAGGGCAACUGAUGUCAUCUACUUGGACUUGUGUGGGACCGUGUCAAAGGCCUUGCACCAUACUGUUAUUUCUUAGUUGGAGAGACAUGGGUUCAAAGAGUGGAAUAUUUGGUGGAGAAGAAACUGCUUGGAAAGUUGCAGCCAUGGGGUUGUGGUAAAUGGCUCCAUGUUCUGGUGGAGGUCAGUAACAAGUGGUGUCCCCCAGGGAUCCAUCUUGGAUCCCACUGUCUGUGUACCCUUAGCAAGUUUGCUGACAAUGCCAAAAUGUGGAGUUUCUUUGAGAAGGUCCAGAGGAGGGUCACGAAGAUGACCAGAGAGCUGGAGCACUUCUUCUACAAAGACAGGAUAAAGGAGCUGGGCUUGUUCAGCGUGGACAAGGGAAGGGCCCAAGGAGACCUCACUGUGGUUCUCCAGUACUUGAAGGAAGCUCAUAAACAGGAGGGAAAUCAAUUUUUUAUAGGGUAGAUAGUGACAGGACAAGAGGGAAGAGUUUUAAACUAAAAGAGGAGAGAUUUAGAUGAGGUAUCAGGAGGAAAUUCUUCCCUCAGAGAGUAAUGAGGUGCUAGAACAGGCUGCCCAGUGAAGUUGCGGAUGCCCCAUCCCUGGAGGUGUCCAAGGCUGGGUUGGAUGGGGUCCUGGGCAGUCUCAUCUAAUAGGUGCUAAUCAUGCCCACAGCAGAGGGGUUGGAACUAAAUGAUCUUUGAGGUCCAUUCCAACCCAAACCAUUCUGUGAUUCUGUGUUUUCUGGUAUGACAGAAUAAAAUUCGUCCUCCUUUACAUCGGUGCUACAUUUAUUUUUUUUUUCAAAUCAUAAUCAGUUAAAUAAAGUCUAAAAUAAUCAAAAAACACUCAAGAAGCACCAAUAGCAGAAGCACAGCCCAUCUCCCAUAGCAUGCUUCGGAAGCUGGACGCAAACAUAUAAGACAUAUACUUACUUGAACAGGGAAGGGGGGUGAUUGAAAUAUAAAAUUCCACAAUACAACAGUAUAUCAUUAUUAUCUAAGUUGGUUAUGGGCAUAAUUUGUCAAUAAGAAGUUCUUCAUAGUAAAAAAAUACAAUGAGUGUGAAAGGUUUGAGGGCAAUAUAAUUGGAAACAUCGAAGGGAAUGGACUCUAUGCAGUCGGUAUAAUUUUCUACCAUAGUAUCACCUGCUCUUGCUCAGAAGUGUGGGGGAUGGUGUGCUGAUGAUUACAGCACUACUUCCUCCUUGAAAGAAUGAACUGUGUCAACCACAGGCUGUAAAGAACUCCACUGUACAUUACUCAUGCAUCUGCAAGAGUAUAUGAGGACUAGCGAGAAGUUGGUUUUUGACAGCUAUCAAAAUACAGUGUACAAAAAAUGAUCCCUGGGCUAGAAGAAAAAAUAAAAAAAUAUUUUUUUUUUAAUUUGAAACACUGUAGAGGAGAGUCUAUUAAAUAAAAAGGGUGGAGAAAACUGCAAGUUCAACAGAAGCAUCUUAGAUAAUACAGAGCAAUGACAUAAGAUUUGCAUCUCCAUUGUGACCCAAUACUUUAAACUGAUAGAAGAGGAAAACAAACGAGAAAAACACAGCUUGUCUCUUUACCAUUCUCUUUUUCAGAAAGAGUAUUUUGACAAAGCUUUUAAAAUUAUCAGGACUUGUUUGAGAGGGAUCUCUGAUGCAAAGAGCUGGAAAUAUAUUCUGUUGUACUGUAAACAGAAGUGCUGGAAACGAUUGUAUGACCAGCUUCCAUGAGCCUGAAUGAAACUAAUCCUGUUAAAGCUUAUAAAUACACAUGACUCAGUAGCUAAAGCCACAUGCAUAUCUGCCCUUACAAAGUUUCUGACACCUUUCAUUGUCAAAAAGUGAUGAGUUGCUGAUUUUAAAUAGCUUAAAUUGCUUACUUUUCUUUCCAGAAACAUAACUCAAAACAUUUCACCCUAAGCCCCUUGCUUAUUUUUAUUUAAUAAAUGGGACUUUUGCAAGUUAUUCUAAAACCUGUCAUGUGUAGAGUUCCCACGUGGAUGAAGCCUGAAUUAAACUCAGCAACGUAAAUUAUUACCACUGUGCAGUGUUCUGCUUUUACUGCUUUAAUCUUCUCCUUCCCUCCCCCCACCUCCCAUUAUCUACUUCAUUGCUCUGCUUCACUAAAACAGGUUUACAGUAUUCUCUGAACAUCUACUGGUCCUGGAUGCACUGGGACAGAAACAACGUUCACAUUAAAAAAGAAAAAAUGCCAAAACAUAAAUUGUAUCAUGUCCCUGAAAGGACAGCCCAAAGAUUUCAAAUCUCAGUGCAGUUAUAUGACUGCAGUCAAUUCCAAGAAUAAAGAAAAAUAACAACGCAUUUGCUAUUUAACUUCUAAUUUCUCAACUGUAAAAUUGAAAAUUAUACACUCCUUUCUGAAAUCAAAAAGUAAAAGGCAUCAAAUACCAAAAACAAUUGCACACACAAAUACUGUCUACAACGAGGUCUAAUCUUGCAGGAAAUUGCCAAAAUCCCCAGCAGAACACUUUUUUAAGCAUCCAGAACAGGGCAGCACAGGGCAUAAUCCAGCUCCUGAAAAUGGUUCUGUGUACACUGAAAUGGAUGAGAGCUAGGAAGAAACUUGCAAGCUACUUCAAAUGUCAUACCCAAUGUUUUCACCCAUAAAUCCAUCAUCUCUGACAGGAAAGCUCUUAUGUAACAUAACUUAUUACAAAAAGAAACAGUAUAGGCUUUGAGAUAUUUUGUUACAGUGCAUAUCCACACUUUGGAUAGGUCAGUGCUGCAGCAGUUACAAUGGAGACACCAGCCACUCCCUGCCUUUUUCAAAGAUGCUUCAUACAAGAAGCAGGAAAGCCUCUAACCUUCACUUUCUCAGUGUCAUAGGUAAUAAAUAAUGUAUUAUGCUUACAUUUUAAUAGAAACCCCUGAGGCUGAAAUAAAAGAGACUGGAGGGUUUUGCCCUGAUACUCAACUCCACAGGUACAGCCAACAGCAAAGGAGAACAUCUGACCCUGUAAAUAGUCUUAAGGCAAAAGGAAGAAAAGCAUAAUAAAAAUCCACUUCUCAGGAUGUUUAAGAGUACAGUCUGUUACACGAAUGCAAACAAAUAUAGAAACAGAUUCUAAAAUAGUAUAUUUGUUGCCAAAUAUAAAAAUCAUGAUCAGAGGGCUGGAGUACCUCUCCUAUGAAGAAAGGUUUAGGGAACUGGGCUUGUUUAGCUUGGAGAAGGCUCAGGGGAGACCUCGUUGUGGCCUUUUAGAUCUUGAAGGGAGCGUAUAAACAGGAGGGGGAACGGCUGUUUACAAGGGUGGAUAGUGAUAGGAAGAGGGAGAAUGGUAUUAAACUGAGACAGGGGGGGUUUAGGUUGGAUAUCAGGAGGGAGUUUUUCACACGAAGGGUGGUGACAUAUUGGAACAGGUUGCCCAAGGAGGCUGUGGAUGCCCCAUCCCUGGAGGCAUUCAAGACCAGGCUGGAUGUGGCUCUGGGCAGCCUGGCCUGCUGGUUGGUGACCUGCACAUAGCAGGGGGUUGGAACUGGAUGAGCACUGUGGUCCUUUUCAACCCAGGCCAUUCUGUGAUUCUGUGAGAUCAUUCCUAAUUUCUUAACAUAUUAUUAUAUGCUUGUUUCACACUACUUAACAACAUCAACUUCUAACUGGACAUCUUUUCAGCACUGGCCUGGAAGAAAUCCAAAGUCCACUCCCUCCAUAAUGAAAGCAUUUCAAAUUAUUCUAUGGGAACUGCUGAGUCUCAGCCUGAACCUCUGAUUGACCACCUGAGGCGAGCACUGAGUCAGCCACAGGAGCACAGGUGAAGGCAAUUCAGCUGUGUGCCGGAAGGGGGGGAGCCUGGCUGCACCUCUCCUAGACCUAUUUAAGAGCUGGCUGCCAGUAGGGAAGGAUCUCUGCUGGAGAUCUGCUCUGCUGGAGUUUUGUGAGUGAGCCCAGGAUAGGGGCUGAUCAAUGUGAUCUGGUCACAAACGUAUGGAAAACUGAAAAUCCCAAACAGGAUCCAAUUAAUAAAGACUCCAAGUUACUGAAGAGGAGAAAAGGAAACCUGUUAACUAAGAGGGAGAAGAACAAUAACAUAAAUGCUAAAUCAGACACAUACAACUUCUGUGGGAAGCCUUUCAGAUUCACAGAUGAGAUACACUCUUAUUAGAGUCAUUUUGCUUUCCACGGGAAGACUGCCUAGAGAUCAAGAAAAACACAGAAAUGACAUUAACUGCUUUACUGACACCAGUUAUGAGAUUGUGCUUCUGCACAGCUUUGCAUGGAACAGCACGUGGGAGCAGGUAACAGGAACUGGCACUGCUUGCAGGGUCUGUGCAAUUCUGUAUGGUUGCUCACCUUCGAACUCAUCACCUCUGGCUUUUCCUCAUACUUCAAAUGCAGGCUUGCCCUGAAGCAACUGGAGAGCUGUAAGCGUGGUAGGAGCUCAGCUAACACAGUACAAGCUCUCUGUCCUUUUUUCUUGCUUGAAGAAGAGCAGGACCUCUGCCCUGCUUGGGAAUUUUCUGAGGGCCGUUUCCAGAAGGUGUAAUUUGCAGCAUUAAAACUGAUGAGCCAGGUAAAUGGCUCAGAGACCUGCUGCUCUCCUGCCUGCUUGAACCUGCCUUCCUGAACUGCAUUGCUGGUGCUUAGUUGCUGACUCUGGCUGUCUGAUCAAUUCCCAUAAAUAUAUGUUAGCCAGUAAUACAUUGCUAUAGCAAAUGAAAAAUACACAGACCAGAGGAGCAUCUGUUAUACUUCUGUUCAAUACUCUGUAACAAGAUUGAUGAUCCUUCCAGCUCCCAGUCCUGCUCCUGUACGUUCACUGCUAAUAUGAUCAGGAGCAGCUCUCCAUUCAGUAAACCCCACAAACACGCGUCCCUGAGUGGCUUGUUCCCUGCAGGAUGGCGAUGACCUUGCAGGCUGUCUCACACCCCUAGCUCAGGAUGGACUUGCUGUCCUCUGCAAGGGGGAAGAACUCACACAGCUGCAGAGCUGCGGGUAGCAAGAUGCUACCGAUGUGCACCAGCUGGCCAGCAGGCUGGAACAAACAGUGUACAUUGCUGCCCCUGGUUGCGCACGCAUCGAGCUCCCCUAGCUUAUCUGUUAAUUGCUUUGACCUUUUUGUUUACUUCCUGCUCAGGAAUCUCAGAACUUGCUGCACUAAAAAUGUCUUCUGGAUUGCAGCACCAAGCAAACAUUGACUUAACCUUUUCCGUUACUCCAAGUCAAUAUUUCCAGCCUAUUCAUAUGCAUGUCUUAUCGCACUGGAUAAAGCAGGGUUGUGUUUGAAGCUAACGCUCUUUUAUUUAUAUGGCAGUAUUGUACUGUGCAGGCACAUGAAGAACCACAUGAAUGUCUUUAAUAAAAAGCUUAACCCUUAUCAAACAAAGAGCACGCAUCCAUGGAGUGCCAGCACAGCACAGCUCCCAUUCCAAAAGACUUUCCACUCAUCACCAGCUUUGCACUCCACAAUCUCUUAUAACUCAGAGCACCAGGCAUUGCCAGCAACAACCCCUGCUUGUUCCCAGUUACAGCAAACAGGAAGAGCAAGUUAUUUUAAGUGAGUUGUGUUUACAGCUCAGCCUUCACUCGUGGGUUGCAUAAAUUGGUGGUUGAUCCAAGGGCAGUCCCAGGUUGACCAUUAAGCACUUCAGGACUGUCGACAUGCAGCAGUGAGCAGUGCCAUGGAAAAUAUCAAGAUCAA